CACGCACACACGCGCGGCAUAUCAAUAAGCGGAGGAAAAGAAACUAACUAGGAUUCCCUCAGUAACGGCGAGUGAAGCGGGAAGAGCUCAAAUUUGAAAUCUUCAAGGUUUUACCUUGACGAAUUGUAGUUUAAAGAAGUGUUUUCUGUUGGUGUUUUGGUAAAAGUUCUUUGGAAUAGGACAUCAUAGAGGGUGAGAAUCCCGUAUUUGACCAUUACUUCCAGCGUUGUGAUACACUUUCAAAGAGUCGGAUUGUUUGGGAAUGCAGUCCAAAAUGGGUGGUAAAUUUCAUCUAAAGCUAAAUAUUGGCGAGAGACCGAUAGCGAACAAGUACCGUGAGGGAAAGAUGAAAAGAACUUUGAAAAGAGAGUUAAACAGUACGUGAAAUUGUCAAAAGGGAAGCGUUUGACACCAGUGUUGUUUUUCCGAAAAUCAAUUACGAAUGUUUUGUUUUUAAGAAGUUAUGACUUCAUCGGCUUGCUUCUUUCUUUACGAAACUUUCUUAAUGCACUUUUCGGUUAACAAGUCAACAUCAAUUUCUUUUGUUGUAAAAGGGUAUGAGGAAGGUGGCUUUCACUUCGGUGAAAGUGUUUAUAGCCUUGUACCUCUGCAAUCGGAGAGAUUGAGGUCUGCAGCGUAGAUCCUUCGGGGUUAGAUACAUUUGUGCUAAGCUAUAGUUCUUUAUAGACAACUUGUUGACUAUAUCUAGUCCUGUAGCUUACUCGCUUAUGCUAUUUUACCUACGCUUAGGAUGUUGAUAGUCACAGCGUGUAC
rnacentral:rRNA from 1 species